AACCCGGACCGGAGUGUUCCCUUCGAACUACGUCAAACCCAUGGAACCAGAGAUCACUAGGCCUGGAGCUGCUUCCAAGAAACCUGAGAUCGCCCAGGCGAUCACCCUGACUACAGAGCAGCUCAGUCUGUCACCGGGGCAACUGAUCGUGGUCCAUGCCAAGAACUCCUC